GACGUAGGGCGCGAGCGUUGUCCGGAUUUAUUGGGCGUAAAGAGCUCGUAGGCGGCUUGUCGCGUCGUCCGUGAAAACCUGCGGCUCAACUGCAGGCUGGCGGUCGAUACGGGCAGGCUGGAGUUCGGUAGGGGAGACUGGAAUUCCUGGUGUAGCGGUGAAAUGCGCAGAUAUCAUCAGGAACACCGGGUGGCGAAGGCGGCUUACUGGGUCUUUUCUGACGCUGAGGCACGAAAGCCAGGGGAGCGAACGGG
rnacentral:rRNA from 1 species